CAGUAGCUCAGAUUAGAGACCAGGUCAAUGCCACACAGAGUUCUAGCAGCAGACACAUCUCUAGAACAACUGUUAAGAGGAGACUGUGUGAAUCAGGCCUUCAUGGAAGAAUAUCUGCUAGGAAACCACUGCUAAGGACAGGCAACAAGCAGAGGAGACUUGUUUGGGCUAAAGAACACAAGGAAUGGACAUUAGACCAGUGGAAAUCUGUGCUUUGGUCUGAUGAGUCCAAAUUUGAGAUCUUUGGUUCCAACCACCGUGUCUUUGUGCGACGCAGAAAAGGUGAACAGAUGGACUCUUCACUCUACAUGCCUGGUUCCCACCGUGAAGCAUGGAGGAGGAGGUGUGAUGGUGUGGGGGUGCUUUGCUGGUGACACUGUUGGGGAUUUAUUCAAAAUUGAAGGCAUACUGAACCAGCAUGGCUACCACAGCAUCUUGCAGCGGCAUGCUAUUCCAUCC